GAUGAACGCUGGCGGUAUGCUUAACACAUGCAAGUCGAACGGACUCUUCGGUGUGAGUGGCGGACGGGUGAGUAACGCGUGAUAAUCUGGCUUUGGGUUCGGGACAACCACUGGAAACGGUGGCUAAUAUCGGAUGUGCCGAGAGGUAAAAGAGAAAUUGCCUAAAGAUGAGCUCGCGUCUGAUUAGCUAGUUGGUGAGGUAAAGGCUCACCAAGGCAGCGAUCAGUAGCUGGUCUGAGAGGAUGACCAGCCACACUGGGACUGAGACACGGCCCAGACUACUACGGGAGGCAGCAGUGGAGAAUUUUCCGCGAUGGGCGAGAGCCUGACGGAGCAAUACCGCGUGAGGGAAGAAGGCUCUUGGGUUGAAAACCUCUUUUCUUAGGGAAGAACAUAAUGACGGUACCUACGGAAUCAGCACCGGCUAACUCCGUG
rnacentral:rRNA from 1 species